CCCGAAAUCAAGCGAGCUAUUUUUAGGCAGCGCUAAAUCAGAGUGCACCUGUCCCUGUAGCAAAAGGGUGGGAAGGCCUAUAAAGAGGGGUAAAAAACCAAUCGAGUUUGGUGAUAGCUGG